GUGCCAGCAGCCGCGGUAACACGUACUGUGCGAACGUUAUUCGGAAUCACUGGGCUUAAAGGGUGCGUAGGCGGCGAUUCAAGUCAGAUGUGAAAUGCCUGAGCUUAACUGAGGCACUGCGUUUGAAACUGAAUUGCUUGAGUAUUUCAGGGGUGUGCGGAACUGCCAGUGGAGCGGUGAAAUGUGUUGAUAUUGGCAGGAACACCGGAGGCGAAAGCGGCACACUGGGGAAUAACUGACGCUGAGGCACGAAAGCCAGGGGAGCGAACGGGAUUAGAAACCCCCGUAGUCC
rnacentral:rRNA from 1 species